rfam:Clostridium beijerinckii NCIMB 8052, complete genome.
GGAAUCCUGCAUGACAAAGGCCAGCAACCAGUCAUUAGUUAGUCUUGGGCUUAUUAUGGCGAUGUAAUAAGUUAAGUGUAGACAAACAAGGUACCAGGCCGCAAGCGAAUGCUGAAACUACUAGCCACGAAAUUAUCACAAAGUCAGAAAGGACGAUAAUAUCGGUAAAUUAGAAGUCAGAACAUAGAUAAUCAUUAUUGCAAGAAUAUCUGUGCUUUCUCGUGGUUUUAAGGUG